AUUGAACGCUGGCGGCAGGCCUAACACAUGCAAGUCGAGCGGAUGAAGGGAGCUUGCUCCUGUAUUCAGCGGCGGACGGGUGAGUAAUGCCUAGGAAUCUGCCUGGUAGUGGGGGAUAACGUCCGGAAACGGGCGCUAAUACCGCAUACGUCCUGAGGGAGAAAGUGGGGGAUCUUCGGACCUCACGCUAUCAGAUGAGCCUAGGUCGGAUUAGCUAGUUGGUGGGGUAAAGGCCUACCAAGGCGACGAUCCGUAACUGGUCUGAGAGGAUGAUCAGUCACACUGGAACUGAGACACGGUCCAGACUCCUACGGGAGGCAGCAGUGGGGAAUAUUGGACAAUGGGCGACAGCCUGAUCCAGCCAUGCCGCGUGUGUGAAGAAGGUCUUCGGAUUGUAAAGCACUUUAAGUUGGGAGGAAGGGCAGUAAGUUAAUACCUUGCUGUUUUGACGUUACCAACAGAAUAAGCACCGGCUAACUUCGUG
rnacentral:rRNA from 1 species